rnacentral:tRNA from 1 species
CGUCAAGAAGCUAAAUUCCAGCAUUAACCUUUUAAGUUAAAGAUUGGGAACUCCAACCUCCCCUUGAUGA